AGCAGCGUGGCUUAGAGAGAAGAGCCCAGGCUUGGGAAUCGGAGGUUGUGGGUUCUAAUCCCGCCUCUGCCC
rnacentral:tRNA from 1 species